rnacentral:rRNA from 1 species
AUUGAACGCUGGCGGCAGGCUUAACACAUGCGAGUCGAGCGGAGAUGAGGUGCUUGCACCCUAUCUUAGCGGCGGACGGGUGAGUAAUGCUUAGGAAUCUGCCUAUUAGUGGGGGACAACAUUCCGAAAGGAAUGCUAAUACCGCAUACGUCCUACGGGAGAAAGCAGGGGAUCUUCGGACCUUGCGCUAAUAGAUGAGCCUAAGGCGGAUUAGCUAGUUGGUGGGGUAAAGGCCUACCAAGGCGACGAUCUGUAGCGGGUCUGAGAGGAUGAUCCGCCACACUGGGAGUGGGACACGGCCCAGACUCCUCCGGGGGGCAGCAGUGGGGAAUAGUGGACAAUGGGGGGAAACCGGAUCCAGCCAUGCCGCGUGUGUGAAGAAGGCCUUAUGGUUGUAAAGCACUUUAAGCGAGGAGGAGGCUACUGAGACUAAUACUCUUGGAUAGUGGACGUUACUCGCAGAAUAAGCACCGGCUAACUCUGUGCCAGCCGCCGCAGUAAUAC